GCCCGCCUGGCCCUGCGACCUGCCCGCGGGCGUUCCACCCUGGGACUUAAGACCUCCAGCUCCAUCCUCCCUAAGGCCGGGAGUCCAGGCCCCAGACCCUCCUCCCCGAGACCCAGGAGUCCAGACCCCAGGCCUUCCUCCCUCAGACCUAGGAGUCCAGGCCCCCAGCCUCUCCUCCCUCAGACCCAGGAGGAGUCCAGACCCCAGUUCCUCCUCCCUCAGACCCGGGAGUCCAGGCCCAGGCCCUCCUCUCUCAGACCCGGAGUCCAGCCUGAGCUCUCUGCCUUAUCCUGCCCCCAGGUGUUUGCCGCCUGGUCCUGGUCGUGCUGAGCCUGUGGCCAGAUACAGCUGUCGCCCCUGGGCCACCACCUGGCCCCCCUCGAGUUUCCCCAGACCCUCGGGCCGAGCUGGACAGCACCGUGCUCCUGACCCGCUCUCUCCUGGCGGACACGCGGCAGCUGGCUGCACAGCUGAGGGACAAAUUCCCAGCUGACGGGGACCACAACCUGGAUUCCCUGCCCACCCUGGCCAUGAGUGCGGGGGCACUGGGAGCUCUACAGCUCCCAGGUGUGCUGACAAGGCUGCGAGCGGACCUACUGUCCUACCUGCGGCACGUGCAGUGGCUGCGCCGGGCAGGUGGCUCUUCCCUG
rnacentral:lncRNA from 1 species